rnacentral:rRNA from 1 species
CAAUAGCAUAUAUUAACGUUGUUGCAGUUGAAAAGCUCGUAGUUGAACUUUUGGUAGGAGCGACCUGGCCUUGGGCGCAUGCCCUUGUUUUGCCGUGUGUCGUAUCUGGCCAUCCUUUUCUUCUUCGGAAGGAAUCUUUUACUGUGAGUAAACUGGAGUGCUCAAAACAAGACGUUUGUUUGGUACAUUAAAGCAUGGAAUAAUAAGAUAGGACCUGGUUACUAUUUUGUUGGUUUGCAUAGCUAGGUAAUGAUUAACAGGGACAGUUGGGGGUAUUCGUAUUUAAUUGUCAGAGGUGAAAUUCUUGGAUUUAUGAAAGACGAACGACUGCGAAAGCAUUUACCAAGGAUGUUUUCAUUAA